GUCCGUAUUAGGAAUUAACGCAUUAAUGUCCGUAUUAGGAUUUAACGCAUUAAUGUCCGUAUUACGAAUUACCUGCACACAGCAUGGCGGGGGUUAAAGUAAUAAAAAUAAAUAAAAAUGGCUUUUAGUUACCUGCUGGCUCCUGCACUUCCAAUAAAUGGAUUCCCAGAUAAAAUGAUUGGUGUCAAGGAGGACUACAAAUCCCAUCAUGCACUGCCAGCCUGGCGGGGGAUGCUGUGGGUUGCCAGGGAACCCACAGUGAUCAUGACGGAAGCCGGGAGGUGACUCACAU